GACAGAGGUGCCGAGCGUUUAGGCGGAAUCACUGGGCUUAAAGCGUGUGUAGGCGGGGUCGUUUAAGUGCCUUGUGAAAUCCCACAGCUCACCUGUGGAACUGCUUGGCAUACUGGCGAUCUUGAGCCACUUAGGGGCAACCGGAACAAACGGUGGAGCGGUGAAAUGCGUAGAUAUCGUUUGGAACGCCAAUGGUGAAGACAGGUUGCUGGGAGUGUGCUGACGCUGAGACACGAAAGCCAGGGGAGCAAACGGG
rnacentral:rRNA from 1 species